UGCUGUGAUGACGUAAUUUGCGUCUUAUCCAGUGCCCAGCGACAGUUGCCUGCUGUCCCCGUGCUGGCACUGCCAGCUGACGACUGCUUCGUUCUGAGCA
rnacentral:snoRNA from 1 species